rnacentral:rRNA from 1 species
CAGCCGCCGCGGGAAUACGUAGGUGGCAAGCGUUGUCCGGAGUUAUUGGGCGUAAAGCGCGCGCAGGCGGAUAGGUCAGUCUGUCUUAAAAGUUCGGGGCUUAACCCCGUGAUGGGAUGGAAACUGCCAAUCUAGAGUAUCGGAGAGGAAAGUGGAAUUCCUAGUGUAGCGGUGAAAUGCGUAGAUAUUAGGAAGAACACCAGUGGCGAAGGCGACUUUCUGGACGAAAACUGACGCUGAGGCGCGAAAGCCAGGGGAGCGAACGGGAUUAGAGACCCCCGUAGUCCCUGUCUCUUAUACA